rnacentral:rRNA from 1 species
UACGGAGGAUCCGAGCGUUAUCCGGAUUUAUUGGGUUUAAAGGGUGCGUAGGCGGACUAAUAAGUCAGUGGUGAAAGUUUGCAGCUUAACUGUAAAAUUGCCGUUGAAACUGUUAGUCUUGAGUGCAAGUGAGGUAAGCGGAAUGUGUAAUGUAGCGGUGAAAUGCUUAGAUAUUACACAGAACACCAAUUGCGAAGGCAGCUUACUGGUAUGUAACUGACGCUGAGGCACGAAAGCGUGGGGAUCAAACAGG